rnacentral:SRP_RNA from 1 species
GCUGGGCGUGGUGGCACGUGCCUGUAAUCCCAGCUACUCAGGAGGCUGAGGCAGGAGAAUCGCUUGAACCCAGGAGGUGGAGGUUGCAGUGAGCUGAGAUCACACCACUGCACUCCAGCCUGGGUGACAGAGUGAGACUCUGUCUCAA